CUUCACCAUAAACCAUGUUUUCUGUAGCUCUGCUGCUGCUGUUGGCAGCUGGAUCCUGUGUGAAUUGUCAACAGUUGACACAGCCAGCCUCUGUGACUGUGCAGCCAGGUCAACGUCUCACCAUCACCUGUCAGGUCUCUUAUUCUGUUGGCAGCUACUACACAGGUUGGAUCAGACAGCCUGCAGGGAAAACACUGGAGUGGAUUGGAAGUGAACGUGUUGGGCAGACCAAAUACUACAAAGAUUCACUAAAGAACAAGUUCAGUAUGGACUUAGACUCUUCCAGCAACAGAGUGACUCUGAAUGGACAGAAUGUGCAGCCUGAAGACACUGCUGUGUAUUACUGUGCCAGA